rnacentral:lncRNA from 1 species
UGGAACGUGUAAUGUAAAACAAAGAGCGGUCAAUUCACACAGUUAAAUACUUGUUCAUGUGAGAAUAUAGAGAGAAUUUUAGAAUCUGGCCAAAGAGUAGAAAUUUUCGACGGAACGACCAAAACUUGUCCAAACUAGCCGGAGAGACAAGAAGAGGUUAUAGGUUUUCUUGAUCUUUAUGUGGGUUCUCCGGCGAUGUCAUUUUCCAUCGGAAGAAGAGCAAUUAUGGCGCUGUUUAUCAUCUCAGUGCUGCAAAUUUGGUUCUACACUGAAAUUAAAGUUGGGGCUAUCAGAAUAUUGCAAGAACGUGCAGCGGUAGAGGAAAAACGGAGACAAACAAUGGAAUCCACCAAAAGUGAAACAGNN